UCUGCGGUAGAUAGAGAGCAGAGGUGGGGCUGGGAGUAUGGAGAAACAGCAUUCAGAAUCGGCCCACACUGUCAAGUUUCCAGGCCUUGAACAAGAACUCUUUCACCUAUGAUCUCCUCUGAACAGCUGAUGAGGAAUUCAUGCCAUCAACCUGGAGGACAACUUGGAGGACCAAGUGCUCCCAACCAGACCUCAAGGUUAAAAAGAAUUUCAGAUGGGAGAAACAUACCCAACUGAGAGAAACAUAGUAAUCAGAGACAGAAAUGAUCUGAAAGACUUGGAGGAACUCUGCGGAAAACAAUGAAUACAACGAAGAACUGGAAAGCAUAAAAUAUGUGUGAGCUACAGGGUAGAGAGAAAAGAGGUCAAGACUUAGGCAAAGUCAUCUUUGCCCAAACUGUAUUCUGUGGAACCCAUUCUGCUACAUGUUCUCAGAAGAAGAGUAGGGUCUUAUGAUCAGCUUUGGAUCAGGGUUCCAUGAAAUACACUUUGAGAAAUGCUGCUUUGAAGUUAGGGAAAGUGAGAGAGAGGCCGGCCUAAAUUUUUGAAGAAAAGGAGACCUACCAGCAGUGCUAUCAAAUAUAAAAGGUUAUUUUGCAAUUUCUUUCUCAGAAAUCUUUCAAAAAUAAAACAACAAGCAUGGUGAA